AAAGGUCCGGUUCUUUUAGACCGGAUGGAGGAAGAUGCCCUACAAUGCCCUAAUGUGCCCCCACAGCCAUGUUAGGAACAGGAGAAAAACUUCGUCCUGACAUGAGCAAAGUCGAAGAUCCGAUUCUUUUAGACCGGAUGGGGGGAGAGGCCCUCACAACGACCUUUAUGUGCCCCCACAGUCCCGUUGGGAACAGAAGGAGAACCUCGUCCUAACCUGGGCUG
rnacentral:lncRNA from 1 species